UUUCUUUGUCAUUAGCAAUUAAAAAAUUGAUCAGAAGAUACGAAUAGUUUAAACAUUGAAUAUGGCAAAGCCCACGGCGUCCAUUUUGGUUCUCAUAUUCUAUUUCACUCUGAUUUCGGGUUGUUUGGGUCAAGGAAAAGACUGCUCGUUUGGUCUACAUGGUCGACCCUGCGAUUUAAACGAUCCAAGUUCUUGCAUAAAUAUCUGCAAUCAGAGUGGUCUAGGGGGAUCUGCUUUAGUUAGUGCAGUUUGUACGACAGAAUUUGACAAGACAACUACUUAUUGUACCUGCACUUUUCAUUGUUAAAGAGGGGAAAAAUAAUGAAUAAAGACCCCAACCAAGAACAAUGUCAUGAAUAUUCAAGUUUUUUGUUUUUUUUUUUAAAGAAAAAGAGAAGCAAUAAUUAUACCAUUAAAUCAAGACAGAAGUCAAUAAUCCAGUACAUCCUUAAAUAAUCAAUGCAGGAACAUGAAAUGAAAUAACAAACUGAACUCAUACAAGUUACAGAAAAAGAGAAGUUGAAAGAAACAAACAUUUUUUAUAGAUACGGAAAAUGAUAAUUGAAAUAAGUACAACAGUAAAAUUAUUUUAUUGCGAUGGGUUCAUCAUGCAAUGCAGUUCUCGGACAUAUACAAGGGACAGGCUUAAACAAUCAUAAUGAUGCACUUGUGUUACACAUAAAACAAAUAAAUUG